rnacentral:rRNA from 1 species
UAGGGAAUCUUCCGCAAUGGACGAAAGUCUGACGGAGCAACGCCGCGUGAGUGAAGAAGGAUUUCGGUUCGUAAAACUCUGUUGUUAGGGAAGAAAAAAUGUAUAGUAACUAUAUACAAAAGAGACGGUACCUAACCAGAAAGCCACGGCUAACUACGUGCCAGCAGCCGCGGUAAUACGUAGGUGGCAAGCGUUGUCCGGAAUUAUUGGGCGUAAAGCGCGCGCAGGUGGUUUAGAAAGUCUGAUGUGAAAGCCCACGGCUCAACCGUGGAGGGUCAUUGGAAACUAAUAAACUUGGGUGCAGGAGAGAAAAGUGGAAUUCCUAGUGUAGCGGUGAAAUGCGUAGGGAUUAGGGGGAACACCGGUGGCGAAAGCGGCUUUUUGGCCUGCAACUGACACUGAGGCGCGAAAGCGUGGGGAGGAAACAGG